CCAGCUAAGGGAAGGGGGACCCCAAACCUCCGAGGCGCGUUCCUUUCCCCACUUGCGCCUUAACGUUGUCCAAAUGGCCUGUCUCCGGCAGGACUGACUUUAUCUGCCCGGCCUCGCUCAGCUGCCAACCUUACCCGAAAUCUAGACCCCAGACCUGGUUCUGGAGAUACAGUGAUAAACAAGAUGAAAUUCCUCAUGGGGCUUACAUUCUAGUGGGGAUGGAAGAUGACAAUACAUAUGGAAAAGAAACAUCUAAAAGGUUAAAAUACAGUCCUCAUUUUGGCUUACUCUCAUAACUACAAGGAUGUUAUGAAGAUUAGUGGUGCGGGACGUAUAAUGUCCUACAAGCUCCAUAGAAGUAACGUACUACGUCAGUACAAAGCAUGAUUACUGCUGCUACUUGCCACAAGGCUGGGCUUACCAACACACAGUUCACAGGCUGCUGAGCCACCAGCACACGAUGUACAUUUUUUUUCUCUAUGUGGAUUAAAGUGGAAAAGAUUUCCCUUGGGAUAUUUGGACCAUUUGCUCUCCUUAAGUGUUUUACAGGGGUGGUGCUGUCGAUAGACAAGGUGGGAAGUGAGAUUAACUUUAGAUUAACACAUGGAUGGGAAGCCAAACCAAAAAACUUGUAUAAAGAAUAAAUAAAGCAUAAUCUUAAUGUCUGAAAA